UGGGGAAUUUUGGACAAUGGGCGAAAGCCUGAUCCAGCAAUGCCGCGUGUGUGAAGAAGGCCUUCGGGUUGUAAAGCACUUUUGUCCGGAAAGAAAUCCUUGGCUCUAAUACAGUCGGGGGUGACGGUACCGGAAGAAUAAGCACCGGCUAACUACGUGCCAGCAGCCGCGGUAAUACGUAGGGUGCAAGCGUUAAUCGGAAUUACUGGGCGUAAAGCGUGCGCAGGCGGUUUGCUAAGACCGAUGUGAAAUCCCCGGGCUCAACCUGGGAACUGCAUUGGUGACUGGCAGGCUAGAGUAUGGCAGAGGGGGGUAGAAUUCCACGUGUAGCAGUGAAAUGCGUAGAGAUGUGGAGGAAUACCGAUGGCGAAGGCAGCCCCCUGGGCCAAUACUGACGCUCAUGCACGAAAGCGUGGGGAGCAAACAGGAUUAGAUACCCUGGUAGUCCACGCCCUAAACGAUGUCAACUAGUUGUUGGGGAUUCAUUUCCUUAGUAACGUAGCUAACGCGUGAAGUUGACCGCCUGGGGAGUACGGUCGCAAGAUUAAAACUCAAAGGAAUUGACGGGGUCAUAGCUGUUUCCU
rnacentral:rRNA from 1 species